GCUUCCUAGAAAAAGUUGUACUUGGGAUGAAAAUAAGGAUCGCCGCUGCGGCCAUUAUUCUGGCGUUUGACAUUUACAUUUUUAUCCUGUUGACGCUGACUGCUUUGAUUUUCCUAAUUAUGCUUUCUGUUCAGAUAUUCAUCGUAUACAGGCUGGGACUAUUCGUCAACAACUUACCCAAGUAACCGCAGGAAGCCUUGUUGAGGGGCUGCCUCACAAAUAGCGCUGCACCAUCUCGUACCCGUUACCAAAAGCCAAGAGUUGUCAUCUCAACGAAUAAUUCAGGGGCGCGCAUCGACCUUAUUAUUUCUUUUUUGCUUGCUUCUUUGAGAGGGUGGGGGAGUCUCAUUACGCGGUGACGAGAGCAAUUUAUACAGCCAUUUUUAAAUAAACCUAUUAAUAUAAACAGUG